UGGGCGUAAGAGCUCGUAGGCGGUUUGUCGCGUCUGCCGUGAAAGUCCGGGGCUCAACUCCGGAUCUGCGGUGGGUACGGGCAGACUAGAGUGAUGUAGGGGAGACUGGAAUUCCUGGUGUAGCGGUGAAAUGCGCAGAUAUCAGGAGGAACACCGAUGGCGAAGGCAGGUCUCUGGGCAUUAACUGACGCUGAGGAGCGAAAGCAUGGGGAGCGAACAGGAUUAGAUACCCUGGUAGUCCAUGCCGUAAACGUUGGGCACUAGGUGUGGGGGACAUUCCACGUUUUCCGCGCCGUAGCUAACGCAUUAAGUGCCCCGCCUGGGGAGUACGGCCGCAAGGCUAAAACUCAAAGGAAUUGACGGGGGCCCGCACAAGCGGCGGAGCAUGCGGAUUAAUUCGAUGCAACGCGAAGAACCUUACCAAGGCUUGACAUGAACCGGAAAGACCUGGAAACAGGUCCCCCGCUUGCGGUCGGUUUACAGGUGGUGCAUGGUUGUCGUCAGCUCGUGUCGUGAGAUGUUGGGUUAAGUCCCGCAACGAGCGCAACCCUCGUUCUAUGUUGCCAGCGCGUUAUGGCGGGGACUCAUAGGAGACUGCCGGGGUCAACUCGGAGGAAGGUGGGGACGACGUCAAAUCAUCAUGCCCCUUAUGUCUUGGGCUUCACGCAUGCUACAAUGGCCGGUACAAAGGGUUGCGAUACUGUGAGGUGGAGCUAAUCCCAAAAAGCCGGUCUCAGUUCGGAUUGGGGUCUGCAACUCGACCCCAUGAAGUCGGAGUCGCUAGUAAUCGCAGAUCAGCAACGCUGCGGUGAAUACGUUCCGGGCCUUGUACACACCGCCCGUCAAGUCACGAAAGUUGGUACACCCGAAGCCGGUGGCCUACCCCUUGUGGGAGGGAGCUGUCGAAGGUGGGACUGGCGAUUGGGACGAAGUCGUACAGGG
rnacentral:rRNA from 1 species